GGUCAGUGAUGAACAGUAAAAGGUCUGAUGUGCCCAGUGGUUUUGCUUCCUUUACCAUCACAACUCCCAGCAGUUUCUCUUUCAUCCUGCUCUAGAAAAGCUGUGAUUGGAAGACAAUUUGCUGAUAAGUAGUGAAAUAUUCAGCUUGUGUUACCUUAGAGUAAUAGGUAGACACUGCUGAAGUUACCAUCCAACAUAAAUACGUAAAGGAGUGUGUGGUAUUGGAAACAUAUCUGGGUAUAUGAUCUCAAUUUUUUAACUGAGACC
ensembl:scaRNA